rnacentral:misc_RNA from 1 species
AUAGCAUAAGUUUAUAUUAUGCAUUGGAAAAACAUAUUUCAAUGCAUACAUAACAUAAAAUCAUUCCACCGUAAAACAACUACAUUACGGUUCAUCAAAAUCCAAAGCUUACUCAGAUAGCUUUAAUGGUGAAUAGAUAAUAAUAAUAAUCCCUAAAAUCGAAACCAUACUCAAAAUUGCAGAGCACCAAUAGCAAUAGAACAUAUACCGUAAAUUUAACGGUAAGAUUUCUGGAACCUAGAACGAGCACCACGACCACCAAACUUCUUAGGCUCACAACGUCUAGGAUCAGCAACAAGCAAA